CACAAAAUUUGUCGUUGUAUCAAACCAGAAAUUCUCACAAUUCAAGCGAAUGCAGAUUGAUUCAAGUGACAAAAACGUCAACAUUAAAUGCAGAGUGUGCGAAAAUGAAUUUCCAAACGAAGUGCGGUUCGAUGAACAUCUCAAAGGGAAUCCGAAAUGCGAAAAAUUGACUUGCGACGUGUGUCGGAAACAAUCUAAUUCGAUCUCUCAUUUCAAUACUCACAAGUUAAUACAUUCGAAUGAAAAGACAUUUAAAUGCGAGGAAUGUGACUAUUCGACCAGAUAUAGAUCACAUUUGAAAAGACACAAGAAUAAACACUCAAAAAAAGAACUUUUUAAAUGUAGCUAUUGUAAUUAUUCAACCGUAUGGAAAGACUGUUUAGACAAACAUAUUUUGCUAACACAUUCUAAAGAACCGAAUUUUACUGGCAACCUUCCAUCGAGAUAUCAGAAUUUGGAAAAAUAUCGAUGCAAGCUUUGCCCGAAAAUUUGUUCAACUCCAGCUGAGUUAAAACGUCACGAUUAAGGUCAUAGUAAAGAAAAACCAUUCCAGUGUGAUUAUUGCUUUAAAAGAUUUACACGACGAGAUAAUUUAAAUCAACACAAGCGAAUCUUUCACUCAACAGAAAAAAAACAAUCUUUGUCUCAGCAAAUUGAAAAAGAAGGCGUGUCAAUGACUUUUAAAGUCUCUGAACAGACUGAUGGGCACCCUUCUUGUGACAUGUCGGCUUCAGAAUCAAUGCAAGGAAAGCAUCUUAACAGAAACGAAAAAGAUAUAACUUCGAAAUCUUCAGAACCAUUAUGGCAAUGUCUUCAAUGUCACUUCACUACAAACUCCAAGGAAGAUUGGUUUCUACAUAAACAGACACAUAAUGAUGAAGCCCAUUCCUCAUCAAUGGAACAGGAAGAAACAGAUUCAGAAGUGUUGAGAACAGCCGAAAUUCUCGUCGAAAUUAGAGAAAAAAGAUUGCAGACGAUAAAAGAUGAAAAGAAAUGUCCUGAUCCUGAUACACGGUCAAGUUCACAAUAACUUGCAAAUAUAUAUUAUUGGCUGUUAUCUAAUCCCUGCUUUUUUAAUUAAAAUUGCAAGAUAUUUAUCAAACUGGAAUACUUUCAUGCGAAAUUCUUACGAUUGGCUUCUAAAUUGUAAUUUUUUAAGAAUUAAACUUUUUAAU